CAGUACCGUUCCAAGUUCUGCGUUCCAUGUAAAAGAAUAUACGAUUAUCGAUCGAAAUCGAAAACUGUUUAUUUACAUUAUCACCAUAAGAAAAUGAUUUCAGAAUCGGAGAGUGACCAAAGUUGUGAGGAAGAACAAGACGUAGCAAGGAGGAGGCUGGAUGAAGCUUUGAUAGAAAAGAAAAAAACAGUUCCAGAAUUUCAGGAACAUUAAAGGAAGAACAGUAAAACGACGAGAUACGGAUCAACAACAGAGACUUACUGCGUUCAAGUGUUAUAGGAGUUUUACAAAGGGAAAAAAGAGGUAGCUCAAAGAAACAAGCCAUGGUUGGUUGCUGAGUGCAAAACCAUUGGAACUCCCUCGACCAAAGACAACUGGACAAUCUAGAUCGUAAGAAGUCUCACUGCCAUAUAAGUAUUGGUUCUAAGAUUAAUGAGAUGGCAGCGAAUUACAGUGCCUCAGUAAUUUGCUUAAUCCGUUACCCCAAUGGAACUCAACACACCAAGUAUGUGUUAGUAAGAGGAGGUGGAAUUAAAUAUUCCAAAUCAAGAGACGGUCUUCUAAGUGAACAACUUUGGCAUCAAUAUUGGAACAAAAAACCAAAUUAGUAAGAAACGACAACAGUUAUGUCAGGAGAAUGGCCAGUGGCCUGGGAGAGCCAGUAAAAGAAAAAGAAAAGAGAGAACGGUGGAAAGGACAGAGAAAGAGAAAAGUAUGCAAUCAGAUUUAGAGAGACUAGAGAAAGAAGUAGAUGAGGAAGUAUGGGACAAUCGAAAAGGGAAACAGAGAAAGAGAAAGAGGCAAUCCGAUAAUGAGAGCGUAGAAAGUGAGAAGAAAACAAUGAAAGAUUUGACAGCGGAAUAGAGAAUCAGAAAAUAGGAAAAUCACACAACGAGACAGUAGAAAGCGAAGAAAGAAACGACGAAAGAUUGAACAGGGGAAUAUGGAAUCCGAUAAUAGAACAAACACGUAAUCAGAGCGUACAGAGCGAUGAAGAAAACGAUGAAAGAUUGGACAGGGGAAUAUGGAAUCAUAAUAAGAUUUAUAUACAAAACAAAAAAACAAGUUUAAAAUAAUUUCUUUUUACAAAAAAGAAAAUUGGACAAACAGGUAAUGUAGAAAGCGAAGAAGGAUACGAUGGAAGAUGGGACAGAGGAAUAGGGAGUAAGAAAAUAAGACAAUCAGAUAACGAGAGCGUACAAAGCGAAGAAAAAAACUUUGAAAUAUGGGGGAACAAAUGGGGGAACAGCAAGGGUACAAAGCAAACAGAUAAUGAGACUUCACCAAACAAAGAAGAAGACGAGGAAGGAAGGAGAAAAGAAAUGGGAAAACAGAUAACAAAUAUAUAAAAAUAAACAUUUAAUUUUGAACAUUGUUAUUUAUAACAAGAAAGGGAAGUAAGGAAAUUAUAUAAUGAAACAGCACAAAACGAAGUUUACGACGAGGAAGGAAGGAGCAAAGGCAUGGGAAAACAG